AAAAAAGUACAGGAAAAGCUUCUCUCCAAGCAGAAGGGAGCCCCUAGUGUUCACAGUCCAAGUGUAAAAAGAAAAGAAAAUGUUUUCAGGCUGGAGGAUUUCCACACUGGGGGUGGGGUACGUGGUGGCAACUGCCUCUUUAAAUCUCUCCACUGGGUUUUUCUUCUGAUCGGCUCUACAGGUGACGUGUGCUAAGAUCACCCCCCUCUGAGGGAGCGCUCUGUUGUGCCUUGUGACCCAGCAUAAGGAGUAUUUUGAAACCUCUUUGCGAGCACCCUGCUAUGCCAGACCACAAACAGGGAUACAGAAGCAGGUUUGGGUCGCAACUGCUCUUGGGGCCCUGGACACAACCACUGCACAGUAUGUAGGGAAUAGGUUGACCACAGACAUCCCUCCUGGCUGCCUCAUCCAGUGGCAUAAUCCCUCCACAAAGUUGGCUGCUUUGCCCCGCUGCAGAAGGAAUGUUGUGUUAAUGAAGCUAGAAUAACUAAAGCAUUUGGAUUUUUGGCUUGAACAGUCCCAGAGUUACAAGGCUGCACACACACUAUUUACCCAGGAUUAUUACCUCUGUUGAUCUCCCCUUUGAUCUGAUUAAAAAUUGCCUAGGAAGUAAUGGAAAUUCUACCUUGGAAUCCUGACUGGCGGGGUUGUAAUUUUAACAACCCUGAGUUGAAGGCAGGGAGACCAAGGUCUGAAGAUGCUUGAAAUUGAAUUAAAAGGACACUGUUAAGGACAUAUAAGCAGGAGUGCCGCCAACCUUUUUGCCGCCCUAGGCAGCGGAAGGUCCCACCCCCGAAAUACUGCCCUCGACAGAGGCAGCGGAAGGUCCCGCCCCCAAAAUACCGCCGACGACCGUGGCGGCCGAAGAUCCGGCCGCCGCCGUCACCGCCCCCCAAAUGUUAGCGCCCUAUCGCCUAAUGGGUUGCACCGGCCCUGCAUAUAAGCAGUGUUGUUUCAGCCAGUCAGUCCCAGGAUACUAGAGAGACAAGGAAGGUGAAGUGAUAUCUUUGAUUGGACCAGUUUCUGUUGAGGUGAGAUAGAAGCUUUUGAGCUUACACAGAGCUCUUAUGCUUCAGGAUGGCACCUGCCCACACCUUUUUCCUUAUGCUGGAGUGGUCCCUUCAGUCCUUGCACAAGCAAAGCAACCACUGGACCAAACCCUGUGUUGACUUACAUCCUGUGCAAUCCCAGUGCCUCCAGUGUGCACUGUGGGGGACUGGACUUGUUCUAGUUAAUAAGAAGCAAUUCUGAAAAGAGCAACCCUACAAUAACAAGCUUAUGUAUAUUCUGGGUAGGAGGGUAGUAAAUUUCCAGUGAAGAAACAUGUCUAGGUCAAGCAUCCAAGUGUGGUAUUUACAGUAACAUAACAACAGCAACGUUUGAAAAUUCUAAGAAACACUCACAUGAAGGUCAAGGGAUUAUUGUAUGUGAAUGACUUCAGGAUAGCACCUCCAAAAUUCCCUGUGAACCUAUUUAGACAAAGCCCAAAUGAGCCUGAAACUCCAUGCAUAGACAUUUCCUGUGGCAUUGCAGAUAAUGUUUUCAUCUUCCGCUCAGUUGUUGCCAGAACCUUUAUCAAGGUGGAUUGUGUGGAUGGCUUUCUGUGUCUGAUGAUUAGCCUGGAGAAAUGCUGCUGCCGCCCCUUGGGGAUGUGGAUUAAUUAACUGGCGGAAGAAGUUCUCCUGUUGGUGUAGUAGCAUCUGCACUAAAGCGCUACAAUGGCACAGCUGCAUCAGUGCCAGUUCACCGCUCUAGCGCUGUACGUGAAGACAAGCCCGUAAUUCGAUCGGACUAGGAGGAGGAAGAGAGACAGUGAUUAGGUUCCUGAUUGUGAUUAUGCAAGUUGUAGAAUGAAGGUUCUGUACCCACCUUUGCUAUUUUAUGCUAUUUUUCAUGACUGGUUAUGGGGGAAGGAGAAGAGGGGUGUUGUUCUGUAUAGUGGAGUUGAGAUACUAUCUUUUUAAAGGUUUCAGAGUCUUUUUAAAAUUGGCUUUGUUCUGCCCCGGCCUGAGGACACAAGAAACUGCGUCUGAGUUCAGCUCUGUGGAGCUUGAAAGCUUGUCUGUUUCACCAACAGAAGUUGGUCCACUAACAGAUAUCACCUCCCCUACCUUUAAAGUCACACAUGUGCUUAAGUAUCUUCUUGAUUCGGGGCCUUCAUUAGCGAAGUAUUACUGAACUAGCUGUGGCUGACAUCACUUAUGGGCAAGAGUGGCCAGUUUAAGUAGCUCAUUCAUCACCGCAAGCAGCUAUGUUUGGAGUCAGAUACUGCCAAUUACGUGUGUCGUCCCCCACCCCCACCUCCCCUCUUCUCAGUCCCUCUAGCCUGUGAUGAACAAUGUUUAUUCUACGCGUUGGGGAGUGGGGAAGCUCUGAUAAAUCUAUUAAGUUGUUUUCCCAUUGUAGCAAAAAUAACAGCAGGAGAAAAAAUCACUAGGAAAAUGAGCUCACCUCAAGCUGCCCAUUACUGUAAUUGUUUAUGCUUUGUUCCAGAGCAUAUUGAUAGCGUGGUAACAACGUGUGUAAUUUGGGAGAUGAGCUGGGUGGGGUGACAGUUAAGAUCUUUUAAGGAAGACUGGGGAGAGAG